CCCUUAGAUGUUCUGGGCCGCACGCGUGCUACACUGAGUAAUUCAAUGGGUAAGGGAACGCUAGAGCAUUACCUACUCUUGAAAUUUGCUCGUGAUGGGGAUCGACGGUUGCAAUUUUCCGUCGUGAACGAGGAAUACCUUGUAGGCGCAUGUCAUCAUCAUGCGCCGAAUACGUCCCUGCCCUUUGUACACACCGCCCGUCGCUCCUACCGAUUGAGUGAUCCGGUGAGGCUCUGGGACCUGGACGGAAAGAGCGUUUCGCUUGUUCUGUUUGGGAAACUUGGUCGAACCUUAUCAUUUAGAGGAAGGAGAAGUCGUAACA
rnacentral:rRNA from 1 species